rnacentral:rRNA from 1 species
UACGGAGGAUGCAAGCGUUAUCCGGAAUGAUUGGGCGUAAAGCGUCCGCAGGUGGCAAUGUAAGUCUGCUGUUAAAGAGUCUAGCUCAACUAGAUAAAAGCAGUGGAAACUACAUAGCUAGAGUACGUUCGGGGCAGAGGGAAUUCCUGGUGUAGCGGUGAAAUGCGUAGAGAUCAGGAAGAACACCGGUGGCGAAGGCGCUCUGCUAGGCCGUAACUGACACUGAGGGACGAAAGCUAGGGGAGCAAACGGG